CACUUUUCUUCUUCUGAAAUUCCUGUUUAGUCAUAUUGCAUUGGUCUAUCAGUGCUUAACAAUAAUCAAGUGGAUAUUUAGGUAUGAAAAGCCAAGACACUUUAUGUUUUUUCACACCCAACAAAUUAAGUCCCCACCUGGUUGUAUUCUGGAUUCUACUUCAUCAGGCAGUUAUAAAAUAGAACAUCAAGGGUGUGUUUGGUUCAGCUUUCUGAAUCGGAUUCACUGCCAAAAAUCUGGAAUCCCAACCAAAACGGCAGAUUUCUCUAGUUCAAUUCAAAAUCACCCUCUACCCCAGAUUUUCCAGAUACCUAUCAUCCAUAUUACAAGUUGUCAUUCUCUUAUAAAAUCUGUAGUUGACAGUUGUUUCAACCAAACAAAUUUCAGUUUUUUCCACAAUCGUCAGCUCACAGCAGAUUUCUCACUGCGCAUAGCUAGAAUUAGAUUAUCAGGAAUCUACAGCUGAACCAAACAGACCCUAAGAAAGUAAGAAUGAGAUAUAAUGUGUACCAUAGAAGUUUUGUUCCAGUGAGGGGUGGUUAGCAUAUGUAGUAUGCCAAAAAAGUAAAGUUAAAGCAAGCAUACCAGGGAGAUCAGACAACAUCAGA
rnacentral:misc_RNA from 1 species